rnacentral:rRNA from 1 species
GGGUGCAAUCAUACCAACGUUAAUGCACUGGAUCCCAUCAUAACUCUGUAGUUAGGCGCGCUUCGGCUAGAGUAGUACUAGGAUGCGUGACUUCCUAGGAAGUCCUAGUGUUGCACACU